UACGAGGGGUCCUAGCGUUGUUCGGAAUCAUUGGGCGUAAAGAGUAUGUAGGCGGCUAGAUAAGUCAGGUGUGAAAUCCCCGGGCUCAACCCGGGAAGUGCAUUUGAUACUGUCUAGCUUGAGUAUGGAAGAGGGUAGUGGAAUUCCUGGUGUAGUGGUGAAAUACGUAGAUAUCAGGAGGAACACCGGUGGCGAAGGCGGCUACCUGGUCCUAUACUGACGCUGAGAUACGAAAGCGUGGGGAACAAACAGG
rnacentral:rRNA from 1 species